rnacentral:lncRNA from 1 species
UCAAGAGGAAAGAGGUAUUUCUACCCAAGAACUCUGCGAUAGCCGAGCAAAGGAUUCAGGGCUUAAAGAAAAGGUUUCUGAACAACAAAGACAAUCCAGCAGAUGAUGCAUCAAGAGGGUUGAAAGUUGCCGAUCUACUGAAGAACGACAGGUGGCUGGAAGGGCCUGCAUUUCUUUGGAAAAGUGAGGAGGAUUGGCCCAACUUGUCAUUGGACACUUUAGUGGACUCCAACGAUCCAGAGGUUGGACGGCAGGUGACCAUAAAUGCCAUUAAUGUGGAUAAUAACCUCAGUCCUGCUAGACAGCUGAUUGGCUACUUUUCCGAUUGGAGGCGCCUUAAAACAACGGUUGCUUGGUUCCUCAGACUAAAAGCUAUAUUGCUGAAACGAAGUCGCCUCAAAAGGCAGUUGGAGGCUGUAAAGGCAGACAAUCUGAAGACCACAGGUCACCCCAGUGCAACGCAAGUCACAGUUCCGAGAGACAAAGUUACCUCGAGCAGUUGCAUUUUUACAGUAGACGAGUUAUCAGAAGCAGAAAUGGCAACCAUUCGCUACUGCCGACAACUGAGAUUCAGUGAGGAGAUUGCGGCCCUGUCCUCAAGCAAAGCAACUGUGAGUCGCCAGAGUUCCCUAUACAGGCUGGAUGCAGUCCUGGAUGAUGGGCUCUUUAGAGUUGGAGGGAGAUUGAGUAAGGGAGCGAUGCCUGAGGAGGUUAAACAUCCACUCAUCCUUUCAAAAGAUCAGAAUGUCUCUUCACUCAUUCUUAAGUAUGUUCAUCAACAUCUGGGUUAUAGUGGACACAGUCAUACCCGAUCUGCGGUAAGGAAGACGUUUUUGAUUACUAAUGCCAACUCGGCCGUAUGGAAGGUCAUCAGUGAAUGCGGGUUCUGUAGGCGUUAUAAUGGAAGAGCUAUAGAAGAUAUACAGAAGAUGGCUGACCUUCCAAAGGUGAGAGUCCUCCCUGACCUACCACCCUUCACCAAUACAGGAGUGAAUUACGUCGGUCCUGUCCGAGUGAAGAUAUGUACCUGUAUGUCAAGCAGAGCUGUCCACUUGGAGGUAGCUGUGCCUUUGGAACAAGAUGCCUGCAUUAAUGCCCUGCGCCGUUUCAUCAGCAGGAAAGGCCAAGUGGUACAACUAAUGUCGGACAAUGGCACAAACUUCAUUGGGGCAGAACGAGAACUGAGGGAGGCUGUUUCUGCUUUAAACCACGACCAGAUUCAAGGAGUACUUUCUCAGGUCGGAAACCAUUGGCGUUGCAAUCCACCAGCAGGAUCACAUCACGGUGGUGUCUGGGAGCGGAUGAUCCGGCUAGUGAGAAGGGUCCUCAGCUCUGUUCUGCGCCAGCAACCACUAGAUGACGAUGGGCUGCAUACAGUGCUUUGGCCUCCACUUUACAUUCUCAAUGAUCGCCCAAUUACCCAGCUCUCCAAUGAUCCGAACGACUUGGAGCCUCUCACUCCUAAUCAUCUUCCAUUUCUCAGGGGAAACCCGGCCUUGCCCCCUGGAGUCUUUGGGCCUCAUGACCAAUACAUGAGACAGAUUCAGUACAUCUCAGAUCCUUUUCUGGAAGCGAUGGGUGUGAGAGUACUUGCUCUUACUACAAAGGGAAGCAAAAGUGUUUUUUGCAGUUUGAGCAGGGGAGACAUUGUAGUGGUGAUGGAUUCUUCAGCCCCUCGAGGCUCCUG